rnacentral:rRNA from 1 species
ACUCAAAUGAAUAGACGGGGACCCGCACAAGCGGUGGAGCAUGUGGUUUAAUUCGAUGCAACGCGAAGAACCUUACCUGGUCUUGACAUGUUGGGAAUCCCGAAGAGAUUUGGGAGUGCCGCAAGGAGCCCAAACACAGGUGCUGCAUGGCUGUCGUCAGCUCGUGUCGUGAGAUGUUGGGUUAAGUCCCGCAACGAGCGCAACCCUUGUCCUUAGUUGCCAGCAUUAAGUUGGGCACUCUAAGGAGACCGCCGGUGACAAACCGGAGGAAGGUGGGGAUGACGUCAAGUCAUCAUGGCCUUUAUGACCAGGGCUACACACGUGCUACAAUGGUAGAUACAGAGGGAAGCCAACUCGCGAGAGGGAGCCAAUCCCAGAAAAUCUAUCGUAGUCCGGAUCGGAGUCUGCAACUCGACUCCGUGAAGUCGGAAUCGCUAGUAAUCGCAGAUCAGCAUUGCUGCGGUGAAUACGUUCCCGGGUCUUGCACACACCGCCCGU